CAGUAGCCGCGGUAAUACAGAGGGUGCGAGCGUUAAUCGGAUUUACUGGGCGUAAAGCGUGCGUAGGCGGCUUCUUAAGUCGGAUGUGAAAUCCCUGAGCUUAACUUAGGAAUUGCAUUCGAUACUGGGAAGCUAGAGUAUGGGAGAGGAUGGUAGAAUUCCAGGUGUAGCGGUGAAAUGCGUAGAGAUCUGGAGGAAUACCUAUGGCGAAGGCAGCCAUCUGGCCUAAUACUGACGCUGAGGUACGAAAGCAUGGGGAGCAAACAGGAUUAGAUACCCCAGUAGUCCCUGUCUCUUAUAC
rnacentral:rRNA from 1 species